CAGUGUUCAUUCACUGUAAAAAUGGAGCAAGGAGAUGUGUGUUAUGACAGAGAUACUAGAUCAGAGAAUCCAAUAUAAAGACUACUUGUUAUGUUUAUGAUUUCAAAAUUAAUGGAGCAUAAAAGAAUAAGUUUAAAUGCAAGUGAAGUGGACACAGGAAUGAGAAGACUAUUUUUUUGAGUCCUCAAGGAAGUUUUAUUUACGGAGUAUUCCACAUCAUAACAUCAUGACAUCAUGUAGUGCGCUGGGAGUUAAAGAGUUAAUGCUCCAGUUCUGGGCACCUGUCUGGAAGAGAAGAACUACAUACACCAGCGGGCUUUGCGCUCAGAGAGGAGACAUAACCCCUGGCAAGGUGAUCUGAGAACACCCAAGAAGAUUUUCUGGUGUGUAGACUGAGAAACAAUCUGUAAUGUAGAAAGAACUUUUACUUGACAUAAAUCUCAGAAUAGCUUCUUAACUGUGGAGAAAUGUACUUUUCCUACUACGGUUAAGCUGACUUUUUAUUCCAUUAAUAGGUGUUUAUAUCUUACUGAACUUGAAUACUGAUGGUGAUUAAGACUGCUUUCAAAUUCUCACAGUGUCCUAAAUGUAUGUAAUGUCAAAUAGGAAAUAGCUUGAAGCCUACAUAUGUACUCUUUUACCUGUAAAAUGUAACUGAAUUAUUCCUUUUGAGGUGAAUUUAUUGGUAAAUACAUCUCUUACUGUGAAAACAACAAUAAAACUUGUUGUUUUUAAAAAGCAGUCAUCUGCUUAAAGACUUUUAAAAAGUCUAUAUGUUUGGCUUAAUUACAUCUUCAAAAUGACUGAAAUAAUCCUUCCAAGCAUCACUUCCUAUUAUCCAGGAUUAUGAAUAAGCCUUUAUACAAAUUUACAGU
ensembl:lncRNA